rnacentral:rRNA from 1 species
UACGGAGGGUGCAAGCGCUAUCCGGAUUUACUGGGUUUAAAGGGUGCGUAGGCGGGUUGUUAAGUCAGUGGUGAAAGAUUCGAGCUUAACUCGGAAACUGCCAUUGAUACUGAUGACCUUGAAUACAGUUGAGGUAGGCGGAAUAUUACAUGUAGCGGUGAAAUGCUUAGAUAUGUAAUAGAACACCGAUUGCGAAGGCAGCGUGCUAAACUGUGAUUGACGCUGAGGCACGAAAGCGUGGGGAUCAAACAGG